UAUUAAAAAUUUCAUCUAUUUGUAUUGUUAAAAACUGGCUUGGUUGUGGAAUAACCAGAUAGUGAUAUAUGACGUGCCACGUAUACCUCAUGCUAACAUAGAUGGACCAAUUUUUAAUAGUAGAAAUGGAUGAAAUUUUUAACU
rfam:Gossypium raimondii Chr10_contig_1391, whole genome shotgun sequence.